rnacentral:lncRNA from 1 species
AGAGAUGCGACAGGUGAAAGCUCCUCCAGGUCCUUAAUUAGGUGCUCCAUAGGAUUUCCCUCCUUUUGCCUUGUCUCCACCGCUUCCACAAUCCCAGUCUCUUCACCCCCACUUAUCUUAUCAUCAUUCAAACCCUUUACGUUGCUUCCCUCCACUUCUUUGCCCUUGCCUCCACCGACAGCUAUCCCUUCACGCGGCAUAGAAGUGUAGGUGGUUUCCCAUGUCCUCUUACUAAGGAUUUUUAUCUCCUUACUCGAACAGUCCUGUCCCUUAUGUCCCCACUUGCAGCAAACAUUGCACCGGGGAGGUAGCCAAGGAUAAUUGACCAAUACUUCGUGUGAAGCUCCAGCUUGGUCCGCGAAAGUGAUCUUUUCGACGAGAGUCUUAUGUAGAUCGACUUCCACUAGGAUUCGGGCCAUGUCGAGCCUCACACAUUUCUCUGUGUUCGGAUGCAGUUUCACAAAAUUUCCCACUGCCCGAACAAGGCACUUCAGUCCUUUAUUGGAAUAGAGGGUGUUUGGUACUCCUCUGAGGUCAACCCAAAGUGGCAUGGCUGACAAGUCUGGGGGAUUCUGAGCUGACUCUGGUGACCAAACAUUAACCACUAACGGAAUAUCCGCUAUAUGCCAAUACUUCCUUUGAAUCACCCUGUUUCUCAUCUGAUCGUUCUCAAUUCGGAACAACACCGUAUUUUUCGCAAUAAACUGGACAUCAAUCUUGGUACCCGCCUUGUGACCAGUCCAAAUACGAUUGACGGUUGCAUGAAUUGAGCCCACGUGUGGAGCGUCUCCAAUGAAGUAGCCCACUACGAAACUUUUCCAAAGAAGCUCCGCCUCGUCAAAGAUCGCAUCUGGGAUUUGCAGUGAUGCAAUCCCAUCAACAAUUUCAAUAACCGGUUCCGCUACUCCUUUUCCGGCCAGGUUCUUUGACCAAGGGCCCGAUCGGACCCGCUCUGCCUGAUUACCUCCGUUCCUCCCCUCCGUGUUUUCUCCGUGUUUUCUCCAUUUUUCCCGGUCAGAGAAUUUCCCGGGAUCGCCUCACCUUCGCGACCCUCCCAAGCUUCACCGCCGUCGAUAGACUGAGCGGUCAGAGUGAGAGAUUUCUCCUUGAUCUCCCCACCAUCGCGUCCCUCCUUAGCCGCACCUCCGACACUCUGUGAAACUCGAUCCGGUGGAGAGAGCUCCGUCGAUCUGAGAAGAGUGUCCGUUUUCUCCAGUGACACCGACGACUCGCCCGUUGGAGCGCUCGCUGCGUCGCCUGGGGCCUCUGUCGUCUUGCUAGGAUCGCCAAGCUCAGAUGCGUUUGGUUCUUCCGGAGUGAUCGUUGGAACGCCCGUGAAUUCGCCGGUGGAGUCGCCCGUGACUGGAUCUCCCGUCGUCGUUGACUCGCCCGUUGGAUCGCCAGUAAAGUCGCCAGUAAAGUCGCCUGUAAAAGGUUUUUUUACAUUGUACGUUCUUUCUAGAAAGAAAAAAACGGUAUCCCCUAGACUAUUUUUGCAAAGUGAUUUAUACACAUGUAGUCACUAAAAUCAUUCUCGCUGGAAAAAAAAGAUGACAUGACACUUAAAAUAGAUGACAUAGUUUUAGAAAAUAGUGAUAUGGCAUCAUAUUAAUUGUGAGAUGCAAAUUUUCUUAUAAAAAUUUAAAUUUUUUUGUAGGGAUUUUAAAUAUGGUAAUAAAAAUAACUCAUAUAUCAUCAUUAAUGUCAAUUUUCCAUAUAAAUAUUUAUUUACGGUAAACUAUUAAAUAUAUUAAUAAUUCAUAUAUCACAAUUAAAAUAAUAAUAUAUAUGUAUAUAUGUAUCUCACAUUAAUAAAAAUAAACUAAAUAAAGUAACAUUAAUCCAAAAAAAUUUUGAUAGUUAAAUAUUUAAACAUUAUUUAAAUUUAUCUGUUCAUCUUCAUCAUUUAAAUUAACAAAAAGAUUUUUCAGUUUAAAUAAAACUAACAAAGUCUCAAAUUUAUUACAAUUUAUAUUUAUAUGUAAAUAUAUUUAUAUAUAUAUAUAUAUAAUUAGAUGGAAAGAUAUAUAUAUAUAUAUAUAUAUAUUUAAAAUAAAUAAUCAUUAAACAAUCUGAGGUCAACCCAAAGUGGCAUGGCUGACAAGUCUGGGGGAUUC